rnacentral:rRNA from 1 species
GACGAACGCUGGCGGCGCGCUUAACACAUGCAAGUCGAGCGAUGAAAUCUUAACAGAACCCUUCGGGGUGAGGAUAAGACGGAUUAGCGGCGGACGGGUGAGUAACACGUGAGUAACCUGCCUUUUACACAGGGAUAGCCUCAGGAAACCGGGAUUAAAACCUGAUGAAACUAUCAAAUCACAUGAUUAAGAAAGUUAAAACUCCGGUGGUAAAAGAUGGACUCGCGUCCCAUUAGCUAGUUGGUGAAGGUAACGGCCCACCAAGGCAACGAUGGGUAGCCGGCCUGAGAGGGUGAACGGCCACAUUGGAACUGAGAAACGGUCCAAACUCCUACGGGAGGCAGCAGUGGGGAAUAUUGCACAAUGGGGGAAACCCUGAUGCAGCGACGCCGCGUGAGCGAAGAAGGCCUUCGGGUCGUAAAGCUCUUUUAUAUGGGAAGAUAAUGACGGUACCAUAAGAAAAAGCCCCGGCUAACUACGUG